rnacentral:ncRNA from 23 species
GGAUGCGAUCAUACCAGCACU